UACGUAGGUGGCAAGCGUUGUCCGGAUUUACUGGGCGUAAAGAGCGCGCAGGCGGUCGUUCAAGUCGCGUGUGAAAGCCCCCGGCUCAACUGGGGAGGGUCACGCGAUACUGAUCGACUCGAAGGCAGGAGAGGGAAGUGGAAUUCCCGGUGUAGUGGUGAAAUGCGUAGAUAUCGGGAGGAAUACCGAUGGCGAAGGCGAGGUCUCUGGGCUGGACAGCUGACGCUCAUGCACGAAAGCGUGGGGAGCAAACAGG
rnacentral:rRNA from 1 species